AUGCAAUUCAUAAGAAAGAUUUUUCAUAACACGUAGUUUUGGGACUGAAAGACGUAGAUUUCACAAAAAAAAAAUCAGAAUGAAUGAGGAUGCAUAUUCAUUUGACAUCAA